GACGAACGCUGGCGGCGUGCCUAAUACAUGCAAGUCGAGCGAAGUUUUUCUGGUGCUUGCACCGGAAAAACUUAGCGGCGAACGGGUGAGUAACACGUAAAGAACCUGCCUCAUAGACUGGGACAACUAUUGGAAACGAUAGCUAAUACCGGAUAAUAGCAUUAACUGCAUGGUUGAUGUUUAAAAGUUGGUUUUGCUAACACUAUGAGAUGGCUUUGCGGUGCAUUAGCUAGUUGGUGGGGUAAAGGCCUACCAAGGCGACGAUGCAUAGCCGACCUGAGAGGGUGAUCGGCCACACUGGGACUGAGACACGGCCCAGACUCCUACGGGAGGCAGCAGUGGGGAAUCUUCCGCAAUGGGCGAAAGCCUGACGGAGCAACGCCGCGUGAGUGAAGAAGGAUUUCGGUUCGUAAAGCUCUGUUGUUAGGGAAGAAUGAUUGUGUAGUAACUAUACACAGUAGAGACGGUACCUAACCAGAAAGCCACGGCUAACUACGUG
rnacentral:rRNA from 1 species